rnacentral:rRNA from 1 species
CACGAAGGGGGCUAGCGUUGUUCGGAAUUACUGGGCGUAAAGCGUGCGCAGGCGGCUUCUCAAGUCAGAGGUGAAAGCCUGGAGCUCAACUCCAGAAUUGCCUUUGAAACUGCAUUGCUAGAGUGUCGGAGGGGAUAGCGGAAUUGCUAAUGUAGAGGUGAAAUUCGUAGAUAUUAGCAGGAACACCGGUGGCGAAGGCGGCUAUCUGGACGACAACUGACGCUGAGGCGCGAAAGCGUGGGGAUCAAACAGGG